UAAGGAUUGAUUUCUUUCUAGGAGUAAAACUCUUGUAAAAUAAAUGAAUAACCAUUUACGCAUCCAUUAAUGUACCCUAAAAACUUUACUGGAUACUAUCCAUGUUCUGUACUAAACAGGUUAUCCAGCACAACUCCACCUGGAGCAUGUCUUGACCCAUUUAUGAACAGAUGGAAGUGAGACUGAUGAUUAAGUAGGUAGAGGUUGGCUCCACCAGACCUUUCGAGAUACUGAAUGCAAAAAUGGGUUGACUGUAAAUAUCAGAAGUCUUCAGAGAGAAGAAAGGCAGGUGGCUCUUUGAUCUCCUAUCUCUUUUCUACUCAUCUACUACAUUUCACAUCCCUUCCCUAGUCCACAUUGCUUAGAAAGCUGCUGUAAGGGGCACCUAGGUGGCUCAGUUGUUAAGUGUCUGCCUUCAGCUCAGGUCAUGAUCCCAGGGUCCUGGAUCGAGCCCCCUGUGGAGCCCCGUCUGGAGCCCCUUGUGGAGCCCCCUGCUCAGUGGGAAGCCUGCUUCUCCCUCUCCCACUCCCCCUGCUUGUGUUCCCUCUCACUGUCUCUCUCUCUGUGUCAAAUAAAUAAAUAAAAUCUUUAAAAAAAAAAAAAAAGGAAGAAAGAAAGAAAGCCAUUUAAAAAAAAAGAAAAGUAAGCAAGAAAGCAAAAGUCACCCUAGAUACCUGUAUUUGGCAAUUGGCUGAUAAUCUUAAGACUAUAGGACCAAUGUUACAAUAAAAUAGUGAGUGGCAACAGUUGCCUAUAAAAUACAGCAGAGUGAAUGUAAUCAACAUGAAGCCAAACUUGGUUUUGCAGGUUACCAAAAAAGAAUGGUGUGUCUUCACAGAGGAUCCUACACUUCGAUACCACUAGAAGAGGAAGAGACGUGCCUCUCCCCCAGUGACCAUGCUGUUUCUCGUCUAUGCAGUGUUGGCGCCCCCUUCCAGCACAGGACCGAAAAUGGCAGCCCAGGAGAAGGGAGCAAACCCUGCAUUUUUGAAUAAUGGGCAGAGUAACACAAGCAUGGGAGAAGCAGACGGGGCUGACAGAUUGCAGUGGCUGUGCCUAUGGAAGAUCUUCAAACGUUCCCCGCAGGUGUCCUAGACCUGACUAUUUGUCCCGGGCUUACAUCUGCA
rnacentral:lncRNA from 1 species